rnacentral:rRNA from 1 species
ACGGAAGGCAGCAGUGGGGGAUAUUGCACAAUGGGCGCAAGCCUGAUGCAGCAACGCCGCGUGAGGGAAGAAGGUUUUCGGAUUGUAAACCUCUGUCCUCGGUGAAGAAGAAAGUGACGGUAGCCGAGAAGGAAGCCACGGCUAACUACGUGCCAGCAGCCGCGGUAAUACGUAGGUGGCGAGCGUUGUCCGGAUUUACUGGGUGUAAAGGGAGCGCAGGCGGGACAGCAAGUUGGAUGUGAAAUACCGAGGCUUAACCACGGAGCUGCAUCCAAAACUGCCGUUCUUGAGUGAAGUAGAGGUAAGCGGAAUUCCGAGUGUAGCGGUGAAAUGCGUAGAUAUUCGGAGGAACACCAGUGGCGAAGGCGGCUUACUGGGCUCUAACUGACGCUGAGGCUCGAAAGCGUGGGGAGCAAACAGGAUUAGAUACCCUGGUA